rnacentral:rRNA from 1 species
GACGAACCGUGCGAACGUUAUUCGGAAUCACUGGGCUUAAAGGGCGCGUAGGCGGGUUGCCAAGUCGGAGGUGAAAUCCUGCAGCUCAACUGCAGAAGUGCCCCCGAUACUGGCAGUCUCGAGUGAGGUAGGGGCAUGUGGAACUUCCGGUGGAGCGGUGAAAUGCGUAGAUAUCGGAAGGAACGCCGGUGGCGAAAGCGACGUGCUGGACCUCAACUGACGCUGAGGCGCGAAAGCGUGGGGAGCGAACAGG